AUACGGAGGGUGCAAGCGUUAAUCGGAAUUACUGGGCGUAAAGCGUACGUAGGCGGUUUAUUAAGUCAGAUGUGAAAGCCCCGGGCUUAACCUGGGAACUGCAUUUGAAACUAGUAGACUAGAGUAUGGUAGAGGGGGGUAGAAUUCCUAGUGUAGCGGUGAAAUGCGUAGAUAUUAGGAGGAAUACCAGUGGCGAAGGCGGCCCCCUGGACCAAUACUGACGCUGAGGUACGAAAGCGUGGGGAGCGAACAGGAUUAGAAACCCUAGUAGUCCC
rnacentral:rRNA from 1 species